AUGGCUUGUAUAAUUUCUGCCUUUUGUAACUUAAACGGUUUAUUUUUUUGGACAAGUAAGCAUGUGAUAAAUUUUUAUAUCCAUCACCAACUUGAGAAAAAGGUACAUUCUCUGUGGGGCACAAAACUCAAUGUCUAUUUACUUAAUGUUGUUAAUCAUGUUGUUCCACCCUCUAGGUGUGUAAUAGGCAAUACUCUAACAGAUGGAGAUGGGGUAGAAGGAGCAGAGCAAUUGCAAGAGUUGAGUGAUGUGCUGAUACACCUAAGUCCUGUGGGUGAAGAAAUCAGGGCAGUCCAUGUCAGCCCUGGGGUCUGCUGCCCCCCAAGUGGGACAUCAGGGAGCCAUGUCUCAGCUGUACCCUCUCCCUCGAUGCUGCCGUGGAGCCACCUCUCUUAUUCUCAUCUGGGAGUUCUGGACCACCUAAAUUGGCUGCGCAGUGAUCAGAGGCUCUUGACUGUCUCUUUUCAAACAGUACUGUGUUCUGCUCAGCUGCUCUGUGAGAGAUUCAGAAGCUCCAUGUGGGGACGGCUGGGCUCUUGGACUGGAACACAGGACCAAGGCAGCGGUGAAGAGUGGUCUUCGUUUGAGCUCAGGCUGGUUUAA
rnacentral:lncRNA from 12 species